rnacentral:rRNA from 1 species
UGGGGAAUUUUGGACAAUGGGCGAAAGCCUGAUCCAGCAAUGCCGCGUGUGUGAAGAAGGCCUUCGGGUUGUAAAGCACUUUUGUCCGGAAAGAAAUCCUUGGCUCUAAUACAGUCGGGGGAUGACGGUACCGGAAGAAUAAGCACCGGCUAACUACGUGCCAGCAGCCGCGGUAAUACGUAGGGUGCAAGCGUUAAUCGGAAUUACUGGGCGUAAAGCGUGCGCAGGCGGUUUGCUAAGACCGAUGUGAAAUCCCCGGGCUCAACCUGGGAACUGCAUUGGUGACUGGCAGGCUAGAGUAUGGCAGAGGGGGGUAGAAUUCCACGUGUAGCAGUGAAAUGCGUAGAGAUGUGGAGGAAUACCGAUGGCGAAGGCAGCCCCCUGGGCCAAUACUGAGCGCUCAUGCACGAAAGCGUGGGGAGCAAACAGGAUUAGAUACCCUGGUAGUCCACGCCCUAAACGAUGUCAACUAGUUGUUGGGGAUUCAUUUCCUUAGUAACGUAGCUAACGCGUGAAGUUGACCGCCUGGGGAGUACGGUCGCAAGAUUAAAACUCAAAUGAAUUGACGGGGUCAUAGCUGUUUCCU